AACCAACGCUGGCGGCGUGCCUCGGACAUGCAAGUCGAACGAUUAAGACUUCCUUCGGGAAGUGCAUAAAGUGGCGCACGGGUGAGUAACACGUAAGUAAUCUACCCUCGAGUGGGGAAUAACGUUCGGAAACGAACGCUAAUACCGCAUAACGCAGCGGCACCGCAAGGUGACAGUUGUUAAAGGAGCAAUCCGCUUGAGGAGGAGCUUGCGGCAGAUUAGCUAGUUGGUAAGGUAAUGGCUUACCAAGGCUACGAUCUGUAUCCGGUCUAAGAGGACGGUCGGACACACUGACACUGAAUAACGGGUCAGACUCCUACGGGAGGCAGCAGUCGGGAAUUUUGGGCAAUGGGCGAAAGCCUGACCCAGCAACGCCGCGUGAAGGAUGAAGUAUUUCGGUAUGUAAACUUCGAAAGAAUGGGAAGAAUAAAUGACGGUACCAUUUAUAAGCUCCGGCUAACUACGUGCCAGCCGCCGCGGUAACAC
rnacentral:rRNA from 1 species